AACGAACGCUGGCGGCGCGCCUAAUACAUGCAAGUCGAGCGAGAAGACGUAGCAAUACGUUUGUAAAGCGGCGAACGGGUGAGGAAUACAUGGGUAACCUACCCUCGAGUGGGGAAUAACCAGCCGAAAGGUUGGCUAAUACCGCAUACGCUUCCGGGACUGCGGUUCCGGAAAGAAAGCGAUACCGUGGGUAUCGCGCUUCUGGAUGGGCUCAUGUCCUAUCAGCUUGUUGGUGAGGUAACGGCUCACCAAGGCUUCGACGGGUAGCUGGUCUGAGAGGACGAUCAGCCACACUGGCACUGCGACACGGGCCAGACUCCUACGGGAGGCAGCAGUAAGGAAUAUUGCGCAAUGGGCGAAAGCCUGACGCAGCGACGCCGCGUGGGGGAUGAAGGUCUUCGGAUUGUAAACCCCUUUCGGGAGGGAAGAUGGGAUAGGGUAACCUAUUCGGACGGUACCUCCAGAAGCAGCCACGGCUAACUUCGUGCCAGCAGCCGCGGUAAUAC
rnacentral:rRNA from 1 species